GACGAACGCUGGCGGCGUGCUUAACACAUGCAAGUCGAACGAAGUGGCGAACGGGUGAGUAAAGCGUAAUCAACCUGCCCUUCAGAGGGGGCCAACAGUUGGAAACGACUGCUAAUACCGCAUACUGAAGCAGGGGAGUGCGUCUGAUUAGCUAGUUGGGGGGGAAACGGACCACCAAGGCGAUGAUCAGUAGCCGGUGUGAGGGGAUGAGCGGCCACAUUGGGACUGAGAAACGGCCCAGACUCCUACGGGAGGCAGCAGGGGGGAAUCGUCCGCAAUGGAGGAAAGGCUGAUGGAGAAACGCCGCGUGAGUGAUGACGGCCUUCGGGUGGUAAAGCUCUGUUAAUCGGGACGCGGUACCGGAAUAGAAAGCCACGGCUAACUACGUGCCAGCAGCAGCGGUAAUUC
rnacentral:rRNA from 1 species